GGCACAUGGUAAUUUUUUAAGGUUGUUUGUGGAAUAAAAUUUUUUUACUACCAAUGUACCAAAUAGUAACCCUAAAAUAAAAUAUGAGUUAGUAUUUGGUACACUGACAGUGCAUUUUUUUAUUCCGCAAGCAGCCUCAAAAACUUGCCACGUGUCU
rnacentral:pre_miRNA from 1 species